UAUUUGGAAAAAGUCCUCGUAAUGAUAAUCUUUAUUUGUGGUUUAAUUCUAUUAAAAUCAUAUAUACAUAUAAAUAUAUUAUUUUCAGAUGAUAAAAUGGUGAAUGUUACGAAAGGAGUUCUUGUAGAAUGCGAUCCAGCGAUGAAACAGUUUCUUCUUCAUCUUGACGAAACUUUGAAACUAGGUUCAAGAUUCAUUAUCCAGGAUUUAGAUGAAACUCAUGUGUUUGUAUCAAGUGACGUUGUUGAGCAACUGAAGGCGCAUAUUGAUGAUUUUAUGGAUCUUGAUGUCGAGGCUGCACCUGAGGGAAGUUAAAAAUAUAUUUGCUCAACAAGAAAUCGAUUGAUUGAUUGAUUAAUCAAGAAAUUAAUUUGAAUGAUCAUGUUGCGUCGUAAUCCGACUAGGAUUGAGCUGAAGGCGGAGGAUAUGCAGGAGUAUAAGAAUCAGAAGGAAGAGCAGGAAAAUAAACAGCAGAAAAAUAAUAUUCUUGGUUCAAGUCCAAAUCCUAGGCAGGC